rnacentral:misc_RNA from 1 species
CUUCUUUGGUGGUGGUGGUGCUUGUUGAAGUAGAAGACAAAGGUGUCUCAGAGGUGGCUCUGAUAAUGGAAAUUGAUGUUCUGGGUGCUUUCCGGCUGCUGGGAAUUGAACGGAAAAAAGAAGAUUGAUGGAUGUUGAGGACUCCGGCGACGGUUUCUCCGGUGGGAUCAAGAAUAGAACCAGAAGACCCUCUUCACACUUCACAGUAAAGUGGCGGCUAGAGUUGUUGUUAGUCGCUAGUCGCUACUGUUACUGUGUACUUGGGUUGGGUACUCCUAGUUCAAGAACGUG